UACAGAGGGUGCAAGCGUUGUUCGGAAUUAUUGGGCGUAAAGGGCGCGUAGGCGGUGCGGUAAGUCUGUAGUGAAAUCUCUGGGCUCAACUCAGAGUCUGCUGCAGAAACUGCCGUGCUUGAGUGUGGGAGAGGUGAGUGGAAUUCCCGGUGUAGAGGUGAAAUUCGUAGAUAUCGGGAGGAACACCAGAGGCGAAGGCGGCGACCUGGAAGGUAACUGACACUGAGCAGCGAAAGCGUGGGGAGCAAACAGA
rnacentral:rRNA from 1 species